UGGGGAAUUUUGGACAAUGGGCGAAAGCCUGAUCCAGCAAUGCCGCGUGUGUGAAGAAGGCCUUCGGGUUGUAAAGCACUUUUGUCCGGAAAGAAAUCCUUGGCUCUAAUACAGUCGGGGGAUGACGGUACCGGAAGAAUAAGCACCGGCUAACUACGUGCCAGCAGCCGCGGUAAUACGUAGGGUGCAAGCGUUAAUCGGAAUUACUGGGCGUAAAGCGUGCGCAGGCGGUUUGCUAAGACCGAUGUGAAAUCCCCGGGCUCAACCUGGGAACUGCAUUGGUGACUGGCAGGCUAGAGUAUGGCAGAGGGGGGUAGAAUUCCACGUGUAGCAGUGAAAUGCGUAGAGAUGUGGAGGAAUACCGAUGGCGAAGGCAGCCCCCUGGGCCAAUACUGACGCUCAUGCACGAAAGCGUGGGGAGCAAACAGGAUUAGAUACCCUGGUAGUCCACGCCCUAAACGAUGUCACUAGUUGUUGGGAUCAUUCCUUAGUAACGUAGCUAACGCGUGAAGUUGACCGCCUGGGGAGUACGGUCGCAAGAUUAAAACUCAAAUGAAUUGACGGGGUCAUAGCUG
rnacentral:rRNA from 1 species